UUAUUUUUUCUGAGAAUGCUGAUGCCUUACUUAAAUGGUUUUAUUUUCAGUCUUAAAACUAAUGAUGACUCGGGUGAAGAAGAUGGCGGCAAUCGAGAAUCAAAGGAUACUGAGAAGCUGCUGCCACCAGUUGAGGUUAAACCUGGUGAACACAGACUCCAGUACACAUAUUGUAUUUGGUUCAGUCGUCGAGCACCAGGAAAACAGGCAACAUCGCAGAAUUAUGACCAGAACCUACAAUUAAUAGGAAGAUUUGCUUCUGUGGAACAGUUUUGGGGUUACUAUAGUCACUUAGCACGGCCAGCAGAUCUUGCAUCACACUCAGACAUCCACAUGUUUAAAGAUGGGAUAAAACCCAUGUGGGAGGAUGUAGCAAAUAAAAAUGGAGGAAAAUGGAUUGUACGUUUACGGAAAGGUCUGGCAUCACGAUGUUGGGAGAAUAUGAUCCUGGCGAUGCUAGGGGAGCAGUUCUUGGUUGGAGAUGAGAUUUGUGGUGCUGUCAUAUCUGUACGAUUUCAUGAGGACAUAAUCUCUGUUUGGAAUCGAACUGCACAGGACUCUAUAACUACAGGACGAAUUCGUGACACACUAAAACGAGUCCUUAACCUCCCUCCCAAUACUGUUAUGGAAUACAAAACUCACAAUGAUUCUCUUAAGCACACCCACUCUGCGUCCAGCCUACUGCGGAAACCUGGCCUUCCCAUGAGGCAUGACCUCCCGCACUGAUGCCUCUAUCCUUCGGCCCUCCCCCCCUCCUAGGAUUGAGGAGCUUUUAGGGGAAGAAGGGAAGGGGGGAAAGAGGUCGAGACGACCAUCAUACAUUUUACAUCUGUGCAGUGCACUUCCCAGCCAUCUAAUACAAACUAGUUGGUGUGGAGCUGAGGAUGAGCUGGUGUAACGUCAAGGAGAAGGAGCAAUUAUGUUUAUUUGAAAAUGUAAAAUGAGACUAGAGAGUGGUACAUAAAUAUUUUUCAUUUCA